rnacentral:tRNA from 1 species
AGGAGCGUAGCACAAAGGUGAGUGUACACGACCGAUAAUCGUGCGAUGUAAGUUCGAGUCUUGCCGUUCCUACCA